ensembl:processed_transcript 5530601H04Rik uncharacterized LOC110287359
GGUACAGUACGGCCUGAGCAUUUUGUUCCAGCACCGGUGUGAGGAAAACAUCUGAGCCCAUGAAUUGCCAGAUCCUGGAUACCAGAGACACAUCGUCUUGCUUCUCAGGUUUGGAGUACAUAAUGAGGAGAAAUAAAAACAAAAAGAUCUCCAGAAAGAAGCCAUGGUAAGAUUCAAGGUUUCACAGUCCAAGCUAAUGCCUGUGGACACUUGACCAAGUGAUCUGAGAAAAUUGGAUUCCUGGCAAAACAAGUGUACCUAGACUCAGGCAAGGGUGGAGCACAGAGGACGACUAGAUUAAAUGCAAAGACUGCCCAGGCAUCCCAGUGCCCCCCAUUGACGUUCCAGAACUUCGUCAAGACAGUGAUGAGCUACAUGUCCACCUGGAGGAGAGUUCAGGAUCAAGCUCAGAAGCUCACAGCUGCCAGCAAGCACUCUACUACUGAACUGCACCAUCUCUCCAGCCCAUGCUUACUCUUGACUAGCCCCAAAGUAGUCAAUGGUGUGGGCCCUGAAAGGAACUGUAUACCUGCUCUGCCCCUAACUGCUUCUGCCUCUACCUCAAUGUACCGUGACUGUUUGACAAGGUUGCUCUGGCUCAGGCUGAGGAAUUGACUCCACACUUACCCUGACCCCUGGCAUAUCCACAUCUGGUCCUGUGUAGUCACCAACCCCAGAGAACAAGUUACAAGAAAUUAAAGACACGGAAUUCCAAAGGACAAUACAUGUUCAACAAGCUCAAACAAUUCAGAGAGGGCACAGAAUGAAAUUAAAGACAACAGGAAUAAAAUGAUGGGAGUCCAAGUAUACAAAAACACAUCUCAGCAAAACAUGGAACAGUAAGACUGUAAAUUCUCAGUUCAGCUAUCGAUAAUUUAGGAUCCUUUGUAGGGUUAUUUGGUACUGGACAACCAAUUGGAGUGUUGUUUGCGGGGGAGGACCACCUCUCCAGGUAAAAUCUAAACAUCAGAAAAUCAACAACCCAGUUAAAAUAAUCUAGAGCACUAAGCAGAGUAUUCUCAGAAGAAGCACUACAAACGGCUAAGAAACACAAGACUGCUCAAUAUCCUUGGCCAUCAGGGAAACACAGAAGCUCACUUUUCAGUUUCCAUCUUACUGUAGUCAGAAUGGUUAUCAUCAAGAAUGCCAGUGACAUGGAUGUAGAGGACAGAUUCCUUCAUUGUCUUAAGUCUCCAGAAAUAUUGCAGAAGAGGAGUCAGGGACUAAAGGAUGGGAGACAAAAAGGGCUGCAAAGUUCCAUCCUAGAGACUCAGUACAGCCAUUGCAAUGAUGAACUCACAAAAACUGCAUUUACCUGAACUUAGCCUGCUGAAGACAUUGAAAGUAUUUCUAAGUAGCUUUUCCUGUUGUGAAUGUACCUCUCAGCUAGUCCAGUUUCUGGUUCAGAGCUCUUAGGAACAGAGUUGUCUUAAACAUUUGCUUACAGGCACUUGUGUAGAUAUCAGCUGCUUUUUUGGUUAAAUCUCUGAAAUAAAUGCCUAGGCGUUCAAUGGCAAUGUUAUAUCAGUAUGUAUGUAGUUUUAAAAUGAGAAACUGUCAAAUACUUUUGCAGAAUUACUGGACCAUUUUACACCCCUGCCAACAAUGUAAGAUUGAUCCAGCUCCCCACAUUCUCAUAAACACUUGUUUUUGUUUCUUUAAGAAAACAAAUUAACCAUUCCAUUUAUUGAGAAUUCACUUACCAUUCAGUGCAUUGCUUAGAUAUGUAGUAUUCAGUUUUUAGUACACAUACAAGGUUGUAUAUCAAUUACUACUAAUUCCAGAACAUUUCCAUUACCAUAGAAAAAGAAACCCAAUAAAUGGAAUUUUU